rnacentral:piRNA from 1 species
UCGCUAUGGUGUGAGUUGGAGAACUCUGG